rnacentral:hammerhead_ribozyme from 1 species
ACCUAGUUGACGAGUCCCCAAAAGGACGAAAUGCUUAUCCUGGAU